rnacentral:guide_RNA from 1 species
AAUACAAAUCAAACAGAUAAGAUAGUAGAGAAUUGAAAGUUAAUAUA